GGGAACUUGAGUGCAGAAGAGGAGAGUGGAAUUCCACGUGUAGCGGUGAAAUGCUAAGAGAUGUGGAGGAACACCAGUGGCGAAGGCGACUCUCUGGUCUGUAACUGACGCUGAGGAGCGAAAGCGUGGGGAGCGAACAGGAUUAGAUACCCUGGUAGUCCACGCCGUAAACGAUGAGUGCUAAGUGUUAGGGGGUUUCCGCCCCUUAGUGCUGCAGCUAACGCAUUAAGCACUCCGCCUGGGGAGUACGGUCGCAAGACUGAAACUCAAAGGAAUUGACGGGGGCCCGCACAAGCGGUGGAGCAUGUGGUUUAAUUCGAAGCAACGCGAAGAACCUUACCAGGUCUUGACAUCCUCUGACAAUCCUAGAGAUAGGACGUCCCCUUCGGGGGCAGAGUGACAGGUGGUGCAUGGUUGUCGUCAGCUCGUGUCGUGAGAUGUUGGGUUAAGUCCCGCAACGAGCGCAACCCUUGAUCUUAGUUGCCAGCAUUCAGUUGGGCACUCUAAGGUGACUGCCGGUGACAAACCGGAGGAAGGUGGGGAUGACGUCAAAUCAUCAUGCCCCUUAUGACCUGGGCUACACACGUGCUACAAUGGACAGAACAAAGGGCAGCGAAACCGCGAGGUUAAGCCAAUCCCACAAAUCUGUUCUCAGUUCGGAUCGCAGUCUGCAACUCGACUGCGUGAAGCUGGAAUCGCU
rnacentral:rRNA from 1 species